CUCCUUCAUUCUCUUCUUUUAUCGUUUUCUUCGCUUAGAUCUCUCUGUUCUUUUUCCCUCAUUUGUUUUCUCUCCGAUUAUAAUCAGAUCCAUGAGAAAAAAUUUUGCACCGUCCGAUGUGUAGACUUUGACUGAGUGCUGAUUAGUUACAGCAGGUGAUCAGUAUUGCGAGAUGGGGCAAUGUUACGGCAAGACUAAUCCAACUAACGAGAAUGACUCAACCACCACAAUAGUCGCCACCGGAGAUCGCAACCAGACUCCCUUACGACCAGCAACUCCGCGUAACGGAGCCGUCGGAGUGCAGUCAGUGAAGAACACGCCGGCCAG
rnacentral:misc_RNA from 1 species